rnacentral:tRNA from 1 species
AGCAGCGGGGCUCAGUGGAAAGAGCCCGGGCUUGGGAGUCCGAGGUCGUGGGUUCGAAUCCCGGCUCUGCCA